AUCUCUUCGCAGACAUCUGAUAAUACAGGAACGAUGUGGGGUAAUUCAACAUGGCCUCUGCGCAAGAAUGAUACGCACUCAACGAAUAAAGAUCUAAAUUUUU
rnacentral:snRNA from 1 species